rnacentral:lncRNA from 1 species
AAAUCUCUCUUUUGUGGUAUUUCUGGAUCCUUACCAAGGCAGUGAUGGUAUAUGCCUUCUCUCAAAAUAUGUAGUAUUUGUGGUAUAAAGCAUAGUGACAUUGCCUUCUCUCACCCUACUCUAAUAAGGAUUUAAUAUCUGGAGCUCAUAGGUGGGAGAUAAAGUAUACAUACUUUCAAGACAUGUAUUGCAUAGUCAAACCAUGGAUCCAAAGAAACAAAUCAAUAAGUCAAAUCAAGAUGUGCAUGUGUGGCGAAUGAAUGGUAUAUGGUGAUGAUGGUGAUAACAAUGGCGGAAGUCUAAUUCUACUUUUGCUCUUUUAAGGGGAUACAUACCUUCCUUGCUUUUUGAAACUUUAUGUGGAGAAUGAGAUGCUCUUAUUUUUCUUUUCUCUCAGGUGGGUAUUUUGUACCCCUAAUUCUACUGUCGGAUACUUGUCUAUUUUUACCUCUCGUCUCACUUUUCCUUUCUUUCGAGGUUUCGAGCACUUGCUCCUUUUUAUUUCCUCGUAUCUCUUUUUUUUCUCAUUUUUUUAGAGCACUCAUCUCUUGAGAUAAUAUAGCAAGUGGUAGUAACAAGAUUUCUUGAGCAUUUAUUUCAUAGGGGAAAACAGAAAUAUUUUUGGUUAUUCUCUCCCGGAUUAGGAGUAGAAUAUUUUUAGGUGGCUCUGGAGAUGAGAAUGGAUGAAUAUAUGUGGAUGGUACUUCCGGAGUAGAAGUAGCAUGUAUGAGUGAACGUGCAAGUGAAAUCUUGAUUUAACCACAUGACAAGCUCCUAAGGGUCUACACAGCUUGACCACACUCAAUGCUCAUAAGCAGUAGUAAAUGUUGUGGCUCAAAGUCCAGCAAGCAUGUAUAUAUGGCUGUGGUAGGAAUUUAAAACUCUCAUCAUAGAGGAACUAAUCAUGCAACAUUUUAAAGAUUUUCAAAGAUAAAAUUUUCCAGAAUUCUACCAUCUCUAGGAACAGAUAAACAGCAGCUCAACCUUCCCAUAUCGUAUCCGUUAACAACUUAGACUUCAGAUCAAGUUUUCAUCCCACAAGUUUAGGUCUAGAGCAAGCUUUAAAUUAUAACAGUUAUGUCUAAACUUGAGAGAGAACUUAAAAUGUGCAAAUUAGGCAGAGCAACUAUUCAUCAUAUCCAUGCUUGAGUUUUAUUAUUAAGAUACAGAUUAGCAUAGCCACUUUAUUUAUUUAUUAAACACACUAAGCAAAAGAUACAUAUAUAUAUAAGCAUAAAAUCUUUAUUUGGUCUUUCAUAGUUUAUGUAUUUUAAUAUAGUAUAAGUAUAAAUAUAGAUAGAAAGAUAGAAAUACUUAGCGGGAUAAAUGGGGGUGCUCUCCCCCAAGCUAAAUUUUGACGUAAUUUCUCUUGAUGUAGGUAGCAGGUGGCAGAGGUGUAUUUGAAAGUCAGCAGCAUUCUGACAGCGAUUAGAAUGUCCUCUGUCUGUUAGUCUUCUUGAUUCUUAAAUUCUAUGGAGCUCAAAUAGACAACAAGGCUUGUGGAACUGAUUAAGUGUUAGCAUAAAUAUCUAGCCUUUAUCAUGUUGAGACUCCUUAAUAAUUAUUACUCCCUAUUUUUAUAUUUUCAUUUUAUAAAGCAGAAAAAUAUUUAUUUUAUUUUUAUGCCACCACAGUGAAUGUACUUAUGGGUUUUAUGCCACUCGUAUACUCACAUGGGGUUACUGUUUUUCACAUUUUUAUUUUCUUUUUAGGCUAGUAUGAAUAUGAUUAACUAAGUAAACUAGUUGACAUAAUUGAAAGGGAAAGGAUAACUACCAAGUUUACCUCUUGGCAAGGCGUUCGGUGUUUUUAAGUCCUCCGAACGGGACUCUCCGUUUUCUUAAUUGUCCUGGAAUUCGUUGGGUGGCGUAGUCGGUACUUCCGGCGGCGCCUCCUCUUCAUGUAUGGUUAUCUUCUCUCUCCACACCUGACUUGGUGCUACGGUCUCCUCUGGAUAAUUCUGUUUAGACUCUACGUCUUCUGACCUUAUCACUUCUCCUUCGUAGUCUGCCCAUCCGUCCUUGAUGAUUUGCAUCCUCUGGUUGCGGUUGCGUCAUUUCCUUACCUGCUUAGAUUCUUCAACGAUAUAGUUAGGGUCAGUAAAAUAACGGCGUACCUUCUCUGAGGGGAAGUGCAUAUGGACUUCUCCAGUUCCAAUGUAGAUGAUUGCUUUAACGGUGCUGAGGAACGGUCUUCCAAGGAUGAUGGGUGGAUCGUACUCGUCUUCUCCCAUGUCAAUAACCUGAAAGUCUGUGUAGACAAAAUAAUCGUCUAUUUUGACUGGGACAUCAGUUAACUUCUCAAAACGUCUGAUCUACCAUCUAGAGCUGAAUGUAUGUUGGUCUUAAGGGCAUGGUUCCGAACAAGAGCCGAUAGGUGACUGCGGCCAUUAUGUUGACGCCCGAUCCGGUGUCGCAAAACGUCUUGUAGAAGCUGUAUCCAUUUAUGGAGCAGUAGAUGCUUGGCAUUCCUGGGUCAUACUUCUUGGUCAAAAACGGUGACUUAAGUUGAUGAUCUUGGCCUCCAUGAACUACAGUGACCAUCUUAGCUGACUCGGUCCACACUUGCUUGUUCCUGUUCCUCCUGUUGGUCCUCUUCCUUGAUUCAUGUCUGGAU